rnacentral:rRNA from 1 species
ACACAUGCAAGUCGAACGAGGUCCGGAGCUUGCUCCGGGUGCCUAGUGGCGGACGGGUGAGUAACGCGUGGGAACCUGCCCUAGAGUGGGGAACAACCUUUGGAAACGAAGGCUAAUACCGCAUACGCUCUUUGGAGGAAAGGCUUCGGCCGCUCUUGGAUGGUCCCGCGUUAGAUUAGCUUGUUGGUGGGGUAACNGGCCUACCAAGGCGACGAUCUAUAGCUGGUCUGAGAGGAUGAUCAGCCACACUGGGACUGAGACACGGCCCAGACUCCUACGGGAGGCAGCAGUGGGGAAUAUUGGACAAUGGGGGAAACCCUGAUCCAGCAAUGCCGCGUGAGUGAAGAAGGCCUUAGGGUUGUAAAACUCUUUCACUGAUGAAGAUGAUGACGGUAAUCAGAGAAGAAGCCCCGGCUAACUCCGUGCCAGCANGCCCGCGGUAAUACGGANUGGGGCUAGCCGUUGUUCGGAUUUACUUGGGCGUAAAGCCGCACCGUU